CAAUUACAGUACAUUAAAAAUCAAUGUUUGGAGAAGUAGCUACGUACUUAAUAUUUAUGUUAUAUAUUAUUUAUUAAUAACAUAAUGGAAUAUCAAAAGAAAAAACGAGGUGAAAAUUGGAGUUCUGAAGAGAUAGAAAUUUUACGUCAACUUUUAACCGAGUCGGCACAAAUAUCGAAGAUAAGUCGACUAAAACUAGCAAUAAUAUGUUAAAGAUAAAAGAGUGGAGCAAUAUAAUGCAUAAUUUUUAGAAGACAGCAAUUGAAGACCGGAGGCGGUGAAAAACCCCCCUCACCUUCUCCAGAGGAUAUAGCCAUUAUGGAAAUAGCUCCUCAUGAAUUUUUAAUGCAGUAUAAUGAAUUUGACGGUGAUGCAAUGAUUCAUACCACUAAAGAACCUAUUGCUGGCACUAGCACUACCAGCUCAGUAGCAGAUGAUAUGGUGACAGUCAUUAAUAAGGCAAAUGAAGAAUCUAGUAUAAGUAUAGCUAAGCAAGAGAUAUUUAACAAUGAGGCAACAGAAAAAAAUGUUAUCAAUAACAAUACUGGCAAAUCUGAUCCUGCUAUAAAGAGAAAAAAGAGCCAACAAAACAGAUGUGAUGAUUGUAGCCUAAUUAUAAAAAGCAACAUAGACUUUAAAGAAAGACAAUUAGAAAUGAUGGAAGAGGAACAUAAAAUUAACAUAAAAAAUUUAGAAUUAACAACAAUAAAAUUGGAACUUGAAAUUGCCUAAUUAAAGAAGAAAUUGGAUGUAAAAGAAUGAAAUAAAUUUUUUGUUAUGUACUAGAAAUGAGUUAAAAUAAAUUGCCUUCUCCUAA